CCUACGGGUGGCAGCAGUAGGGAAUAUUGCUCAAUGGGGGAAACGCGGAAGCAGCAAAGCCGCGGGGAGGAUGAAGGUGUUAGGAGGGUAAAGUACUUUUGGUAGAGAAGAGAAUGACGGUAUCUAACGAAUAAGCACCGGCUAACACCGUGGCAGCAGCCGUGGUAAUACGGAGGGUGCAAGCGUUACUCGGAAGCACUGGGCGUAAAGGGAGCGUAGGCGGGAUAGCAAGUCAGAUGUGAAAUCCUUUGGCUUAACCAUAGAACUGCAUUUGAAACUGUUAUUCUAGAGUAUGGGAGAGGUAGGUGGAAUUCUUGGUGUAGAGGUGAAAUCCGUAGAGAUCACGAGGAAUACUCAUUGCGAAGGCGACCUGCUAGAACAUAACUGACGCUGAUGCGCGAAAGCGUGGGGAGCAAACAGGAUUAGAUACCCCAGUAGUC
rnacentral:rRNA from 1 species